UACGUAGGGGGCGAGCGUUAUCCGGAUUUACUGGGUGUAAAGGGAGCGCAGACGGAUAGGCAAGUCAGAUGUGGAAGCCCCGGGCAUAACCCGGGGAGUGCAUUUGAAACUGCAGAUCUGGAGUACUGGAGAGGUAAGCGGAAUUCCUGGUGUAGCGGUGAAAUGCGUAGAUAUCAGGAAGAACACCGGUGGCGAAGGCGGCUUACUGGACAGCAACUGACGUUGAGGCUCGAAAGCGUGGGGAGCAAAC
rnacentral:rRNA from 1 species